UCUUUUGGGAUCCGCAGAAAUACAGAUGCAAAAGCAGGACAUGGGUAAAUGAGAGAAGAUAAGGAUUUGCCCCUGCAAGCAAAACAUCCUGUCUUCAAAAGGGAUCCUGGAGGAAGCAACACAGAGUGAUUCCACAGAGGGAAAGCCAGCACCUACAAUGGCUGUGAAGGGAAUGAGUAAAUCCUCAGACCAUGGAAUUUGGGCUUUCUGAUACAUCUGGAAUCCAGAUUGAUGAGAAGAUGAGAAGAUGAGAAGCAGGCACUCCAAUCUUGGGCAAGGCUUCCUGAGACUCAUGCCCUCCAGCACUGCUUGUUGACCUCCCCUUCAAACUCAGGACAUUGAUGGACCAUCACAAUGGACAAACCACCCUGGACCUACAUGGUUGUAAAAGCUCUAGUCAUGGCCCCGUUGGAGUUUACAGCGAUGCAUUCUUUCACUGAGAGAUUAUAUUCUCCUGAGACCAAACUUUCUGCAGGUACUUACCAGUUCUUAUGAAGUUCUUAUCUGGGGAAGAUUCUCAUGCCUAGGAUGAAAUACAUCAAAGAGCAAGAAAACUUUGACUCCACCUAGAUAAUCAUCCUGUGAUCAAGACACUGACUGGUGGCACAGGAGUCCAGAUUUCAAGUUUCUGUUCUGCAAGAUGUCAGAAACCCAUAUUCCAGGCCAGCUUUCUGGCCACAAAAUAUCAAGCUAUUCUCGUAUUCUGUCUCUCCUGUUGGACCUGUUUCACUUUGUAUAAAUAAAUAACCAUUAAUUGAACAA